GAUGAACGCUGGCGGCAUGCUUUACACAUGCAAGUCAUACGGAAGUUAGUUUCGGCUAACUUCAGUGGCGGACGGGUGAGUAACACGUGAGAAUUCGCCUUUAGGAGGGGGAUAACAGGGGGAAACACCUGCUAAAACCCCAUAUGCCUUCGGGUCAAAAGAGUAAUCUGCCUAAAGAGAAGCUCGCGGCUGAUUAGCUAGUUGGUAGGGUAAAGGCCUACCAAGGCGACGAUCAGUAGCUGGUCUGAGAGGACGAUCAGCCACACUGGAACUGAGACACGGUCCAGACUCCUACGGGAGGCAGCAGUGAGGAAUUUUCUGCAAUGGGCGAAAGCCUGACAGAGCAAUACCGCGUGAGGGAAGAAGGCUUACUGAGUUGUAAACCUCUGUUACCUAAGGAGGAAGAUCUGACGUUACUUAGGAGACGAAGCAUCGGCUAACUCCGUGCCAGCAGCCGCGGUAA
rnacentral:rRNA from 1 species